rnacentral:rRNA from 1 species
AUGGCUUCCACGCCGGCGGACGGAGCAGGCGAGCCGGUGGAGGCCAAGGGCAAGGGGAAGGAGGAGGGGGAGAAGAAGAAGGCGGGGGGAGGGGUGCUGGGGAGGAUGUGGCGCGGCCUCUUCGGCGGCCGCGAGGACUACGAGAAGCGCCUGCAGUACCUGUCCAAGGAGGAGGCCGCCGUCCACGCGCGGAUGCGCCGCCGGACCCAGUUCUCCCGCCGCACCGUCCGCAACAUCAUCGUCCUCUCCGUCAUCGCCGAGGCUGUGGCUGUUGGUUAUGCUAUCAUGAUGACAAGAGACGAAGAUCUCACUUGGCAAAUGAGGGCAAUUCGAGUGCUGCCUAUGUUUGUUUUGCCUGCCAUAUCGUCUGUGGUAUAUUCAGCAGUUGUAAACUUCACGAGGAUGCUUGAACGGAAAGAUGAGAAGACACUUGAAAAGUUGAGAGCUGAAAGGAAAGCCAAGAUUGAUGAACUGAAAGAACGGACGAAUUAUUACCUUACCCAACAACUUAUCCAGAAAUAUGAUCUUGAUCCAGCUGCAAAAGCUGCUGCAGCUUCGGUUUUGGCAUCUAAGCUGGGGGCGGAUUCUGGCUUAAGAGUACAUCUUGGGGAAGAACCAAAUUAUGAUGCAGCAGUGGUUAUGAGCAACAAUGCUGAGAUAUUGCCAUCAGAUGGGCUGAGAAACAGGAAGCAGCCCAAUGCAAGAGGCAGCAGGACUGGUAGCACUACAGCUGCUCAUACUUCGGCACAAGGUGUUGAAUCCAGCCCAGCUCUUAAUGCUGGCCUGGAAAACGUACAGCCUACAAGGGUUGUAGAACAUUAUCAAGGUUCUGGGGCAAGUGAUGGUGGAUGGAUUGCAAAAAUCGCUGCCUUACUUGUUGGGGAGGACCCAUCACAGUCGUACGCUUUGAUCUGUGGCAAUUGCCAUAUGCAUAAUGGCUUGGCCCGGAAGGAAGAUUACCCACACAUUACAUACUAUUGCCCACAUUGUCAUGCUCUAAACACAUCAAAUAACUCGAUGGGGCAAUACUCAGGCUCCAACUCAGGCCCAUCGACCCCAGUUGCUCCUGCUGAUGUGAUAUCUGCUACCAGCUCAGUAGUAGAGAGUGAAUUGAUUAAUAUGGCUACAGUGCAGGAGUUGCCAAAGGAAGAACACGCAGAGAAGGAAGUGGAGGCAAGUUGA